rnacentral:rRNA from 1 species
UACGUAGGUGGCAAGCGUUGUCCGGAAUUAUUGGGCGUAAAGCGCGCGCAGGCGGUUCUUUAAGUCUGAUGUGAAAGCCCACGGCUCAACCGUGGAGGGUCAUUGGAAACUGGGGGACUUGAGUACAGAAGAGAAGAGUGGAAUUCCACGUGUAGCGGUGAAAUGCGUAGAGAUGUGGAGGAACACCAGGGGCGAAGGCGACUCUUUGGUCUGUAACUGACGCUGAGGCGCGAAAGCGUGGGGAGCAAACAGG